CUCAUCCUGUAUGUGGGCUCUCAGAUGACUCAACACAGCUACUGUGCCAAAUAUUGCCUAGCCCUUCAUGUUUCGUUCCAGGCUGUGAAUGUCACUUUGGCACGGUUGGGCAUUCCUCGCCCACCAGCCUGUUGACUUUCAGUCUUGGGUGGAGUGGGUUUCAUGGGAUAAUUGGAUAAAGCAGCUCUGCCCUGAAAACUUAGCACCCCUAGAGACUUGUGCCAUAAAAUAAAUCAUGCCUUCUUGACUUUCAUACUCUGCUCUCUCAGCCCCCAAGGGAUGGCGUGCUCCGCUCCGCACAGCACAUCUCCAAGCUGCAGGCAGUGCAACCUGCUAUUUAUGCCAUCCCGUCUCGCCGAGUGCUGACAAAAAGGACAAAUUUCCCCAUCUGUGAGAUGACAGUGAUUCCGCCGGCAGCCCAGCCUUGUAGAGCUGCAUUUUCAAGCAUUUUUCUGCAACCACGAGGCCUGGAAACUUGCUUUUCUUUUCAAAUGAAAGUUGAGAUGCUCUUCUGAUCACUUGCCUCCCGGAGCACCCAAAAGUGUGACGACUCUUAACACUGCACAUUAAAGGGAAUAACUGUUGAGUGAAGGCUUCAACCCAGAUGUCCUGCCUUAGCAGCCACGUGCGUAAUACCUGGGCUGGAUUCUUUCUUGGGAUGGGGAUUUCCAUUUUACAGCCACAUCCCAUUUCUACUGGCUGCUGCACAGAGGAGAUGAUAGCCUACCACCUGGUAGCAGGUGAUGGAGUUGCUUCUUUAUCUCUAGUGCUCGGUUCAGUGCUGAAGGCCCUGGGUUCAAACACUGCUGACCCUUUUUGCCUUCACCCCCAGCCUGUGACACUGGACUGAGGGCUCUGUAGACUGUACUGUACUGUGACUAACCAGCAGGAAUCACUGCUUGAGGGAUAAACAUCUGGCCUUCUCCUCAGUCCUCUUCCCUGGAAGCUGUGCAUGCCACCUUCAUCAGUGCAACAAAUCCACUGCGUGAUCAGCAGAGCAGCUGGACCGCUGAGGAGCUCAUAUCUCUCAACCUGCCACGGCUGAAAGGAAAGAUGUGGAACUGGACAUUUAAAAUGUAUAACAGAGACUCAAAGGAGAGACAUCGAGAUGGUAACACAGGGAGGAGGAAGCUGGCAAUGCUGUGGGCUUCAUUUCUGUAACAUGGAUGUUUUCCAUUAUCCGAGCUCCACAGUUCUGUAUUUUCAGUAUUGUACCAGUAGGAAGAGAACAGGUGCAGAGGUAAAUCUGGGUCUGAAACAGAGCUGGGCCUAAACCAAUACCUCAGUUCCGGACAAACCUGAACCCUGGCGGAGUUCGGAUCUGAAUCUGAGCUUUGCUGGUGCGGGCUCCUCUUUAGACUUAACAAGGCACAGCUGGCGUGUAAUCCCAGAUGAGUGGUCUGGAUGUCAUGUCAGUGCAGACAGUGCCCCGAGAUAAACAAUACUAAUUUAACAGGACCCAGCACCAGCACCACAUGCUGUGCGUGGAGGAGUGAUGGGGGGCAGUUCAUAACUAAGGCAGGUGCGAUGUCCUUGAGAGAUAGAUGUUGGGGAGAACAUAGAAUCACCAACAGAAUCUCAUUUUUGAGCCUAUUAAUACAAAGUUUUGUCUACUUUACAAAUAAAAAUAGAUUCACUCCACCAUCUGCCUGCCAGCUGCUCUUCUGUCACUCCAACUAGGGAACAAGUGUGUCCUAUCCCUCACACCUUCUGCAAGAUUCAUCAUUCUAUUUUUUUUUUGUAGAUUGCUUGGCUGAUGCCAUCCGCAAGCAGCAAUUAUUAGCUUCUCCAGCUAGGAAUGGUGCCCGUUUGUUAUGAAUAUCUUCACAAGUUUCCUCACAGUUCGGACAGAGAAUCCUGGGGUGGGUGGGUUGCUGGUAUUUCUGUUUGUGUGGUUUUGGGUUUUUGCUGCUGUUGUUGCUUUCCUCUUGCAGCCUUGGAUGUUGUCACCCAGUGACAGGCUGAUGAAAGUUGGUCAGAAAGGAGGAUGCAGAGACAGAUUUGGGCAAAAGAAAAAAAAAAGAAGUAACAAGAAGGCGGUCUGGCAUUUUCCUAGCAUAUUUCCCCUUGAUUAUUCAGUUCCAUCUUCUUCUGUACUGAAGUGUCAAACGCCCCCAUCCCUGAUUUCUGCCUACCUUCCCUUGCAGAAUGAUUAAUCCACUCCAUAGUUUCUGCAGGAUUCUGGGAAAUCCUGUCAGAGUCUCUGAUAAACUUUCUUUUGGAUCUGACACAGUCAUUGCUAAAGGGCUGGUCCUGGGCCCUUUGAGUCCAGACCUUCGAAGGAUACUCUGAGAGUUAGAUGUCUAAACACAUUUGAGGAUUGUUGGGGAUUGGUCCUGCUUUGAGCAGGGGAUUGGACUAGAUACCUCCUGAGGUCCCUUCCAACCUUGAUAUUCUAUGAUCUGGGCUUUGCUCUCUCUAUGGUCCGCAAAGUGGGAGCCAUUUUUUCAAUCUUAUGGGUUCUACAAAGGCCCCUGAUUAUCUGUGUUUAACCUCUGGCAGGAACUCCCUUUGGGCGAUCAGCAUGAUUGAGUAGCUAGAGCACUGGACUGCAAGGUAAGAGAGCUGUGUUCUGUUCCGGGUUCUGCUGUGUUGCCUCCUCUCCUUCAGCUGCCUUGUCCAUUUAGAGUAUGAGCUACAUGGGCAACCAUCUCUCACAACGCACGUGGACAAUGUCCAGCACCAUAGGGCUAUAAUCUCCGUUGUUACUGAAGUACAAAUGAUAAAUAAUAGGAACACUUUGCUGUAGCAGCUGCAUGGACCUGCAUGGAUGAAUAGGUGCUCAGCUGAGUGUGGUAUAAAUGUAUAGAAGUGAGGAAUUAGGAACGACCAUAGCAGGUGAGUCCAGUAACCCAUUUCUGACAAUGGUCAGUACCAGACACUUGACAAGAAGUUGCAAAAAUAUCUCGAAUGGAAUUCUCUGCCCGUUGGUGAUGUAUCUUCCUAUCCCUUGUUAGUAAGUAGCUGGCUUAUACUGUGAAUCAUAAGGUAGGAUUUCUAUCUAUCUAUCUGCCCACCACUGCCCCAGUAUCUGCACAGCUAACAAGCUGUAAUAUAUUUAGCCUCACAAAACCUCAUUUGACAGCUGAGAAUUGAGGUACGGACACAAUAAGUGAGUUGGUCAAACAGGGAACAUGUGGUAGAGCAGAGAAUUCAACUCCCGUGUCCUGAGUCCCAGGCUGCCAUUAGAUUAAUAGAUUCUAGGACUGGAAGGGACCUCGAGAGGUCAUCGAGUCCAGUCCCCUGCCCUCAUAGCAGGACCAAAUACUGUCUAGACCAUCCCUGAUAUACAUUUAUCUAACCUACUCUUAAAUAUCUCCAGAGAUGGAGAUUCCACAACCUCCCUAGGCAAUUUAUUCCA